GAUGAACGCUGGCGGUAUGCUUAACACAUGCAAGUCGAACGGACUCUUCGGAGUUAGUGGCGGACGGGUGAGUAACGCGUGAGAAUCUGGCUUUGGGUUCGGGACAACCACUGGAAACGGUGGCUAAUACCGGAUGUGCCGAGAGGUAAAAGAGAAAUUGCCUGAAGAUGAGCUCGCGUCUGAUUAGCUAGUUGGUGAGGUAAAGGCUCACCAAGGCAGCGAUCAGUAGCUGGUCUGAGAGGAUGACCAGCCACACUGGGACUGAGACACGGCCCAGACUCCUACGGGAGGCAGCAGUGGGGAAUUUUCCGCAAUGGGCGAAAGCCUGACGGAGCAAUACCGCGUGAGGGAAGAAGGCUCUUGGGUUGUAAACCUAUUUUCUUAGGAAAGAACAAAAUGACGGUACCUAAGGAAUCAGCAUCGGCUAACUCCGUG
rnacentral:rRNA from 1 species